CAAGACCUUGCGCUUUUGGAGCGGCCGAUGUCUGAUUAGCUAGUUGGUGAGGUAAAGGCUUACCAAGGCUUCGAUCAGUAGCUGGUCUGAGAGGACGACCAGCCACACUGGGACUGAGACACGGCCCAGACUCCUACGGGAGGCAGCAGUGGGGAAUUUUGGACAAUGGGGGCAACCCUGAUCCAGCCAUGCCGCGUGAGUGAAGAAGGCCUUCGGGUUGUAAAGCUCUUUCAGCCGGAACGAAAAGGUCACGGCUAAUACCCGUGACAAAUGACGGUACCGGAAGAAUAAGCACCGGCUAACUACGUGCCAGCAGCCGCGGUAAUACGUAGGGUGCAAGCGUUAAUCGGAAUUACUGGGCGUAAAGCGUGCGCAGUCGGUUUUGUAAGUCAGAUGUGAAAUCCCCGGGCUUAACCUGGGAACU
rnacentral:rRNA from 1 species